CCAUUGCUGCUUUUAAUAGUGACCUUUCUCCCUCUUGCAAGCCCCGGGGAGAGUGAAGUCCUUCUUACCAGUGCCAGCGGGUCACUUGCUCUGUAUCUGCCAUGUUACCCAGGCUGCCUCUGCUCCUGCAGUCAGGGAAGAAGGAAGGCUGCUCUGCCUGGACAGCGGGAAUCCUUCCAGUUGGGACAUAGUCUGAAGCUUGAUGGUGCCAACCUGAUGGAUUACUGGGUAGAAGCCAAGUCGACCAAUUUGAACAGAAGAGAAUACGACACCUUGAAAGAAUGAAAGAAAAGAAAAGCCCCCCUCUGAGGAGAUGGCAUACAGUCCCCUCCACCUUUUUUAAAGUGAAAGAAUGUUUAUACCUGCGGGUAAGGCCUUGUGGCCCUGAAAGGCCUUUAUUCAUAAGGAGAGUAUUUAGCAAUUCAUGGUUGCCAAGGAAAUGGAAAGAAAACCUUGCACAGUGGUUUGAAGUCAUGUUCUGUGUCCAAAGUAAUCACCAUCCUGGCUUCAAAUCAGUUCUAGGCAUAGUGAUCUAAUCACCCGCGC
rnacentral:lncRNA from 11 species